rnacentral:rRNA from 1 species
UACGGAGGGGGCUAGCGUUGUUCGGAAUUACUGGGCGUAAAGCGCACGUAGGCGGCUUUGUAAGUUAGAGGUGAAAGCCCGCUGCUUAACGGCGGGUUGGCUUCCGGUACGGGCAUCGCUGGAGUGCGGCAGGGGAGACUGGAAUUCCUGGUGUAGCGGUGGAAUGCGCAGAUAUCAGGAGGAACACCGGUGGCGAAGGCGGGUCUCUGGGCCGAUACUGACGCUGAGGAGCGAAAGCGUGGGGAGCGAACAGG